GAGCUCUUAGCUCUUAGCCUCCGUCUCCAUUCGGCCCUCUCGAUCCUUCUCGACCCUACGUUCAAUCUGUUCUCAAAUCCCCCUCCCUCCCAGAAUUCCUUUACAGGUCACGCCCCCUCCGCUGGCCCUGACCCCGCCUUUGCCGUACACCGUGCCCCCCGUCUUAGAGGCCCCGCCCCGUUGGAGGUCCGGCUCCGGACUCCGCCCAGUUUCAGCUCCGGGUCCGGAAUCCGCAGGGUCUCAGUCUGUGGCCCCGACCCCCGCUCGCUCACCCCCAGACGCAGGCCCUGGAAGAAGUGCACGUCGGGCUGCGUGCGCUCGGGCUCCUGGCACACGAGCAGCAGCAGUGAGCAGCUCUGGCCCGGCGGUAUCACCGUGUCGCAACGCACGAUGGCGCUCAGCGGGCAGAAGGUCACCAGGUGCUGGAGAAAGCAGUGAGUCCCAGGAUGAAGCCAGGUGGGCUGAGAAGCCCCUGGAAUCAGCCUUAUAGCCGGCGACUACGCACACCUCCUCUGGGAAGCCUUCUCUGAUCACCUGCGCCACCUCCUCCCAGUGCCCUUUGUGUGUCUUCCCUGGGUCUAGCUCUCCAGCUAGACCCCUUGAAGGCAGAGAAUGGUCUGGAUUAUAUCUAGUUCCUUCUAAGCAGCUCUACCUCCGUUAGAGCACCUGGCAAUUUUGCUGGUACCUCUGGACCUUGUCUGACCCCUACUCAUCCAGGAUUGCAUCUGAUUUGUCCCUGUGGUCCAACUAUCCAGCACAGGAGCUGGUCCAGAGGAAAAGUUGGCAGAUUCAAGUGGAAUUGAGUUCCUCCACUGAAUACCCACAUCUGAGGCAAGGCAGAAGAGCAAACUGAGUUUCCCAAGUUCUUGCUGCUUGGAGGUCCAACUGCUUUCAACUCCCCCAUCUCCUCAGGCCUGCCUUGCCUCCUGCAAGACUCCCCGUGGCAACACAGACCCCAGACUCACAUUGACUGGAUAUUGGGAAACAUCGGCCAUAACCUCGGUGGAGUAACGCUUCCUCUGUUCUGUGGGGGAAGAAGGAGAAUGGCUGCAGGAGACCCAGCUCCCAGCCCCUUCCCCCUCAGACUCAGGAGUCCAGACCCCCAGCCCCCCCUCCCUCAGAAAAGGAGUCCAGACCCCCAACCCCUCCCCCAUCAGAUCCAGGAGUUCGGGUCCUCAGUUACCUCCUCCCUCAGACCUAGUUUCUCUUGGCCCGGGGCUUCCUUGCCCCUCAACUCACCAUAGAUAGACUUGGCACUCCGUUUGGGAGAAGCUUCUGGACUAGUGAAGGAAAAGAGGGGUGAGAGGGGCCAUGGGAAUUGGGGGCAGAUCAUGGGAGUUUUGAGUGCCCAGCAGAGCUUGUGAGGGCGGUGGGGAGCCAUGGAGGGUUUUGAGCAGGGGAGGGCAGGGCCAGAGCUGGACUUUAACGAGACAAGUAUGGCAGUGGUGCUGGCUCGUGGUGGCGAGUGUGGUCUCUACUGUCACACAGACCUGGGUUCGAAUCCCCUGUCAGCUACUGCUUUGUCAUGAGACCCCGGGUGGGAGACGAUCUCUCCUGCUUCAGUUUGCCUUUCCAUAAGACAGGGGUUGGUUACCCUAUAGUGUCUGUUGGGUGAAUUCAAUGAGAUGAUGCAGUUGGAAUGUUGUGCAGCCUUAGUAACUGUUAUUAUCAUCAUUAAGAUGAUGCAAAGCGCUUAACACACAGUAGUUGCUCAAUAAAUGGGAUUUUUUUUUUUUUUUUUUUUUUUUUUUUUUUUUUUUGUGGCUGCG
rnacentral:lncRNA from 1 species